GGCUUUCUUGUGCCUUGGGAUACUGUUAUGAUCAGUAGUCCCAACACAUCUCACUGAAGUACAUUCUACAUUUGGAAAGACUGGUCACUCCUGGCUUUAGAAAGGCUCACAUGAUCUUUAAAAAGCAGUUAAAGUGUAAAUAAAAAGAAAUGCCUGGCAAAAAUACAGAAAAUCUGUGUCAGAAAUAUGAAAUCAGUGCAUUUUCCUGAGGACUUGGUAUAUUUCAGAGAAGCCGAGAGGAAGUUAUUUCAAGGGAAGGGAGAAAAAUGUGCACCACCCUGAGAGUGAAUACAUGAUGGGCAACAUUGAAGUAUGCUCACUAAAACCACAAACCUUUCAGCUGCUGGCAGUAGUUCACUCCUGAUAAAUACAAGAUGACUCCAUUGCACCGUAAGUGCAAUCAUGCUGUGAGACUGCAGAACCAGCUUUGAAUUGCAGAACACUUGAAUCAUUAUCAAACCAUGCCACAUAUUCUAUUAAGUUGUUGUGAUGCCAAAACUCCUGGCAAAAUGUAUCAUGCAGCAUAUCUAGCUGCUACCAGGAGAUCAACCUGCUCAGAAGUACUGGAAAAGUCUCAUAUGUGAAGGCAAGUUCUGCAGACAGCUGUGCAAGCCCCAGGGCAGCACUGAAAAAAGUAGUAUUUUGAUUGCAGCAUGCAGUAUUAUUAAGUCAUAUCAAGGAGCUGAUAUUCUUCAGGCUUAAUUUAUAUCAUGCAACACCUGCUGCCUAUAGAUAAGUGUGUGACUUUGCUUCAGCAAAGAGUGGAUAAGAAUGGAGAGAAAAGAGGAAUGGAAGUGGAUAAUGAUGGUAAACCAGAAACAUUAAAAUGGUGACAGAAUGAACUGCUAACAUCAUUAUUUUUGGGGACUAUGCAUUCCAGCCAGAGAGUAUCUCAAAAAGAAUAUUUUUGAAAAACAAAAAUUUGAAUUAUUGCAUCUUAGUAAUUGAGGUUUGGAAACAAAUAAAGGGAGCCUGUAGAGAGCAGAAGACAUUGGAAGAUUAAAUUCAGAAGUUAGGUAUUACUGGUCUAUUCAAAUUAUUUUUUAAACAGAUUUCUUUCUUUUUUUUUUUCUUUUUGUAGCUCUGCAACCGUUUUUAGUUUGAAUAAAGUGAUUCAGUUUGACU
ensembl:lncRNA